GGUCCUGCUCCCUUGGAGCUGCCUCCGGCGGUGCCGGACAGCCGGCCUAGGGAAAGCUCGGCCGCUCCGACAUUCCUGUCUUCCGAGCCGAGUCUGCUCUCUCUCCCUGUCUCCUGCUCUCGUUGGGUUAAUCGCUUCAAGAGAUAAAGGAGGGACUGGCGACGCGGAUGAGGGUGGAGAUAAACAGGCAGUUAGGAAGUGGCUACAAGUCGGCGGCGGAAAAGGGCGGACGCACCUGCCUCCGGGGUCCUCAGGGAAGUCACGGGGGCGGUACCCCUUACCCGCUAGGUCUGGCCGGCUGAGGGUGAAUUUCCAGAAUUCUCAAUAACGUUAAUAGAGGUGGAAAUUAUGGCACUUCAAGAGGCUCCGAACCCUUAUUUCAGUGAUCUUGCCUUCAAAUGUGUAUAGGAAUCCCAACACCCAGCACUUAUACUCGGGUAACAGCUCCAUAAGAUCAGAGGAUGCAUCUUCUAUUCACCAAGUGUGUUACAGAAUGUUUGAUGCCUACUGAGCCUUCAGAUAAAUGCUGAAAGACUAAACCUUUCCAAGUUAAGUAUUGAGAUUAAACAUCCCCACAUUUCCUGUAUUCUGAGAUUCCUUUCUAGUAUGAAUUUCUGUGAUGGUGAAUAACAUUAACCCCACUUAUUACUUAUUGCUUAGUUGCACCCAUGGACUCAUUGGUUAGUAAAUAAAAAACUAAAAUUAGGUUGAGAAGAAUCAAUAUGCCCUUUUAUUUUUUAAUAAAGCCUUAAAAUAGUAUUUCAACAGUAUUCUGCAGUUCUCAGUAAAUGGAUCUUGCAGAUCUUCUGUCAAAUUUAUUCCCAAGUAGUUAAUAGCAUGCUCCUUUGUAAAUAGCACUUUUAAAUUGAUAUUUAAUUUUGUGUGCAUGUGUCUACUAUAUAGAAAUAAAGUUGAUUUAUGUUUGUUGAUCAAUCAUGAGAAACACACUUAUUAGUUACAGCAGCAUCUUUUAAGGUAGAUUUCUUUGGAUUUUCUACAUGGAUGAUCAUGUCUGCAAAUCACAAUUUUAUUUCUUUCUUUCCAAUCUGCAUGCCAUUUAUUUGUUUUCUUGUCAUAUUGCACUGGCCAAGACCCAUCAGUAUAAUGUUGGAUAGAAGAAAUGAGAUCGGAUACCCUGUUUUGUUUCUGAUCUUAGGGGAAAAGCAUAAAGUUUUUCACUAAAUAUUGUGUUACCUUUAGGUUUUUUGCUAGAUGCCUUUUAUCAUGCUGAUGAAAUUCCUUUCUAGUCCUAGUUUGCUGAAGCCUUUUAUCAGAAUUCAGUAAUGGUUUUUCUUGCAUGCUUUUUCUGGGUCUGUUGAAGUGAUAAUAGGAUUUUUCGUUUUUAGAUUGUUAGUAUGGUGAGUUGCAUUGAUUGGCCUGUGUUACACAGGCCUGUUGCAUCCUGGGAUAAACUUUACUUGGACAUAAUAUAUUAUGCUGUUUGUAUAUUUUUGGACUUGAUUGGCUAAAAUUUUGUUUAGAAGUUUUGCAUAUGUUCAUGAAGGAUACUAGUGUAUAAUUGUUUUGUGUGGUAUCUGCCUUGUUUAGGGAUCAGGUUAAUGCUGGUCUCACCAAAUGAGAAAUACUUUUUCUUUUUGAUUUUCUGGAAGACUUUCAUUACUUUGAUAUAAAUUCUACUUUGUAGAAUUUACCAGUGAAGCCAUCUGAAAUUUCCACGUGUGAGGUCUAACAACCCUUUGUAUCAGGCCUAUCCAGCUUUGGAGGCUGCGUUCUGGAGAUCUUUGAACACAGCUGGACUCUCAGGAUUUUCUGUCAGCAACUUACAGUUCCUCAAUUCGUUCAAGCUUGCAUUCAACAAAUAGUUGAGGACCUAUGGUGAGGCAGUCGCUUGCCUCCUGUGAACAGGUACAUUCGAGGUUCACCAGACAACCAGUGCCCUCUAAGUUACCGCCACCUCCCCUAGGCCACUGGAAAGGAAGAGACCGCUGAUUGCCAUGACAACUAUCUAAAUUGAACCAGAAACAUGGAAGUCUUGUAUUUGAAUGUAAAGCUAUACCAGUUCACCCAUUUCACAAACCUGUCGAGCACUUUCCCAGGUGUUUUGGGGUUUACAAAGAUAAAAGACAGUGUCUCUGACCUUAACAAUCUGGCGGAUUUCAAAUUCUCUCACGAAGCCUAUCUAAUUAAAUCCUUGAGUUAAGACCAUUCUCUGUGGUGAGAGUACGGGUGAUGGGACAUAUUCCUGUUUGCUGAACAAACUGAAGCUCUGAAGGGCAACCUGAUUCACGUAGUAUCACAUCCAGUGAGGGGAAAUGCUAGAAGUACAUUCAAAGACUCCAUUUCAGUAAUCUUUAACAUGACUCUGCCCUGAUUUUGAGUCCAAGGGAUUCCUUCAGAAAAGAACUUAGAAGCGAUUUGGUCUAUCAGCCAACAUGUGGGAACAAUUGGAGUUUGGAGAACCUUUUUCUACAGUGAUACAAUAGCGGAUGUUGUCCAACUUCACACCUUGCAAGUAUGGUGCUGCCUACGCAUUGCCUGAGAGGAUAUAAUCAUCACCACGGUAUGGAAGGAGAUCAUUCUUUGGAGUGGACAGUUCGCGAUUCAAACACCAACCCCUCACAGCUCAAAUAUGAUAUUAAUUUCCACGUGCCUCCAUUUUCUGAGAAGUUCUGCUGACCUACUUCGUCGAACCGGUAGAAGAGACUUAGACGGUCCUGAGGAUUUUAAAUCAACUUUGAAAAAGUCCAACUUGUGAUAUAUAAGAUCUCUAGAAACCUCAGAAUUUCCAUGCAUCUCUAUUUAUGAUACUGGUUCUCAAACUAUGCUUACACAAAAUACCAUUUUUUCAGUUUCAGCCAAGGUGCUGUGCCAUUAAAUAUGAAAAAUAACAGUCUUUCCAAUUUUUCAGAAAAAUAAAUUUAAUGGAGUAUCUUUCAAUUCUAAGGUUUCCCACCACAUUAAAAAAAAAUGUUUGGUUACAGCUACUUGUUGCCUUUAUUGCUAUCUAAUAAAACCUGGUGUCAUAUUAUAUAUUCUGUUAUUUUAAAUUUAAUACAUCAAUAUUAAACGGUGUUGUGCAAAGAUCACUAUUACUUCCAGAUGUUCUACUAACUGACAAGUUCAAGGAUAUGGUGUAUGUUGGCUUCAGUUAAAAACUAAAAGAGAGAUAAUGUUAAUAACACAUACAAAUUAGAAAACUAAACACUAAGAAUUCUGUUAUAACUGCUAAUCACUUCUUACUUUCUUGAAAAGCCCAUGCCUUGAUUACAAAUAUCACAGGCAAAUGCAUUCAAUGAAUUCAAUUGCCACGCUCCUAUGAAAUUAUGAUUUUCUGAUGGGCUCAAAUAACUUUCCUAAAGGAAAGAUACUUUUUUUUCUUUAACCACAAAAAUUAUUAUUCUUGACAUUAGAAGUAUAAGUGGGACAAGAAAAUUUAUUCCUUGUUUUUUAAUGCUUCCAGAAGUGGUCUUUAUUGCUGUACUGGGUCUGUGAAGAACAUAUACAAAGGCACCUCUCAACUGGCACUCACAAAUAGAAGCUUUGAAAAUCUGCACCUAUAAAAUGCAUGCAUUUCCUGAACUGGUAGCUGCUUUAUUCAACAGACCAUUAAAAGCCCAUUUAGAGAGGCUCUCGCAAGCUCGUAUGCACUACUGCUACUUAAAGCUGAUGAACACAGCGUAGCAAGAAACAAAAUAAAACAAAAAGUUGGACCAACUUUUUGGGAGAAAAAAAAGCUCUUUCCCCAGACCUAAAUUUCCUCCAACACUAACACUCGUAUAAAGAACAGGUAAUGUGACAAAAUUGCCCCACUUCCAAUCUCCCAGCCAAAAAUCCAACACCCCUCCACCCCUCCAAGUAUCAAUCAUCAGCCCAGGCAAGGCAAAUGAACUUUUAAUCAAUAACAGCUACUGUUUCUUGUACCAGGACUGUUUAUGAUUUAAAAGGGGGAAAAAUUUAAAUCAAUCCUGAUGUGAAUGUUUUCCCUCUUGAAGAGAAAAAGCAACACCCUGUGUCAAAAGGCAGGAUGGGGGGGGGGGGUGUAGUUUCACAUGUUUUAAAAAAUAUGUUAAAACAAAAUAAAUUUGAAAUUGUUUUUGCCCUCAGUAGCUAUAGGAAGAAGAGUAGCUACGUAGAGUUGAUGAGUCAUGUUAGACAAACGGCUUCAAUUUAUGUCCACACCAUUGCAUUUCCUGUUUAUAUUCAUACAUUGGUAUGGAUUAAUAGAGCUAAAAGGGAAUUUAGGGAACAUCUGUCCAAAGAUCGGUGCUUUGGGGCCCCCGUCACUGGAACUGUUGAGGUGACAGAACGAAUCGGCUGAGAAGUCGGAGGGAGAAUUCAAACCACCAAUGUAACAACAGGUUUUUAGAUUAUAUUGGUGGGUGAAACUGAUCAUCUAUGGAAGCCUCAACUGUGAAAUCUGCAAAAGUAGAUCUGCUCUGGCUGCAGAUUCUUGCCCCUCUCCCUAUCCGUAGCCAAAAGGCAACCUUUGCCUGGAAUUUCCAGGAUGUUACUAAAAACGUUUGUAAACCCAGAACCAGACACCUUUAAGCGCCUCCCCCCCACCCCCCGCAACACCCCGAGGUGUUCUGAUUCUUCCCUCCAUGUUUCUUCUAUUCCUCUAGGCUACAUCCACAUAGGUGCAGCUAAACACCAUAAAUCCUCAUAAUAUGGUAAUCAGGUCUUCCUGCAUCUUGAGUUUUCCCACAGCCAGAGAGAAAUCAAGGUGGACUCUUUAUGAGGCCUGCUGCAUUAUUUUGGCAUGUUUGCACAAACCAGAAAUAACUUCUCCAAAGAUUACUGAAAUGAAAUCAUCUUUCACCUAAUUGGGAAAGGCUUUUGCCCAGUUUUAGAGAGUAACACACUGGGGAGGCAGUGGGGGAUGAUGAUGGGAGUGAUUUCUUGACUGUUUUCUUUUACAGUUUGCUGAAAUGGAACAAAUCAAUCCUGUCUUGCUUAUUUAUAAAACCUUAACACCAAUGGGGUGGGGAGAAUUAAUGAGACCAGGCACAAGGAAUGUGGAGAUUUUCAUUUCUAAACUGCUGGCACACAGACAUGCAUUAGUGUCUUGUAGCUUUUCAAGGGCGCUGAAGAAAUGAGUUUUCUGCCUUUUACAACUUUCAGUGGAGAGCGUGCAUUUGCACAUAGUUACUCACCACUGUAACUGGCAACCAGAAGAAGGAUCCAGAAAAGAAGCCCACAUUUUUUAAAAACUAGGAUACUGUACCCUCACAUGUACCCAAAGAACACAGUGAUAACUGUUGACCCUCAGAAAAGAAUGAACACGUAACUAGUAACACAAAAGACAUAGCAGCCUUUCAGGGUGUAUUUAGUCCUCAUACUCUCUCUGUGAUAAGGAAAAUGAGUCUCCAAAGGAUCGAGCGAUCUGUUCAAAGAGGCACAACAAGUUCUUUUCACUUUUCUAAGAAACGUUUUCCUGGGAAGUGGAGGAAGACUUUUGAUCGGUAUUAAACACUAUAUUAACUUGUGCAUAAUUAAAAGCUGAUGUCUGUCAGCCACAGUAACCAUGCUGCACCUGCUGUGUUUUUCUGCUCUGGAGCCCACUUAGGAAUAGCUGAUGUCCUCAAAAUGUCUUGCAAAUUCCUUGAAACUGUCGUCUCUGCCAGUGUUUACUCCGGGGACACUGAUACCUGUGCAGAGGGUACCAUCUGCCGGUGCCUGCAAAGUGGCUAAGUCACAAGAUGGAACUUCCGCUCAUGGAUCCUCCCUGUAAAAAAGUUCUGCUUUGCUCCCCGGCAAAGGAGGAGAAUGGCCCUUCAAUGGAAUAUAUACUCCAUUUCAUCUCCUGUGCCCUAUAGCUACACUGCUUGAGUUACCCCAUGUCCCCGGGUAUUUCAGGAAAAGGACCCUUUCGGCAUUUGUUGGUGGUUUCUCUUUGUGUCUGGGACACGGGUGCACAAGAGUCCACACUUUCCCCCACGUCCCACUUCUGUCCUCCAUGUCCAAACAGCUCUAACUCCUGCCUGUGGCCUUUACUACUUGGCUUUUACUUCAGUGCUUCUAAUUUGGUUGACGGCUCUUCAUUUAGAAGGAGAAAGCCAUCCAGCUCAUCAGCUUCAUGACCCACACAAACCAGAUGAUCAGGCAACAGAAGAAAAUAUUAAAGUAUGAAUAUAGGGGCAAGAGUUCAUAUUUCUCUCCCUUAAUGCGCUUGGAGCCUUGGAAGGUAAUUAUAAGUAUGUAUGUAUUUAGACUUCUGUCAUUGAUGGUAAGCUGUUUGGAAAUUCAAUGAUGGCUUGUCAGACUCUAGGUAAGGAGGUGGAAUUUUCCAUUACCAAGAUGAUUACUUAUUAUGUUUAGUGCCUUGGACACCGUGGGCAUUUGUGACAAAAUGAAUAACAGUGAGUCCAGGGGAAGGGCAUUUGGAAAAAAAGAAAUGCCUACUUUUAGAACCACCAUUAGUCUUGGCAAACAAGGAUUCCUGCCUCAAGCCCCAUGUCUUAUGGAGGUCUGUGCUUUGAAGCGUCUCCCUCAACAUUUUCCAGUCCCCUUCUACUGCCUAUGAACAGGUGGAGCCCACAAUGCUCCAGGCAAGACUUUCCCCGCCCAGAUAGAAACCCACAUAGAUCUCAGUCAACCUGCUAUCCCGUUUGUAGGUUCAACCAGGGGCUGUGAGAAGCUCUGAGACUUGUCACCCAUGGGGCCAUCCCAGGGCCUCAAGAGGCUGAAAUGGCAAGUGGAUCACUCCCACUGGCUGGUGUGGAAUUUCUUUGGUGGGAGCACAUGAGAUCGGGCCUCCAGAAUGGGGCUGACACACUAAUUUGGGGGACUCCAGGUGUUAUCUAUAUUUAUACAGAUAAAUUUUUCCAGAGCUUCACAUAUCUUAGAGUGAUCCAACCUGCCUUCGGGGCAUGAACCACUCAUAAAGAUAGAUUGCUCUUAGGGAGGAUCUUAACAAUGACUUGCAGUCCAACAUAACAUUCUUUUAAGCUUCUCAAAGAUGGAAUUCGUGAUUCUUACUGACAUGGCUUCUCAGAGACUGGCCCAGUGCUAAGCAUAUCCUAGACAUUAAAAACACAUUUGAUUAAUAUUGCAGUCUCUUCCAUCUGUCCAUCCAUCCAUCCAUCCACCCAUCCAUCCACUCAAUAAUCUCUUCUAAUAUAUUAUUCCCUGCUUGCAGGACAGGUGGAUUCUCAGAGUUUCCAAAACACAGUGGACUGAGGACCAGUAACAUUCCUAAAAGUGUAUUCUCAGAAAGGUAUGCUGACCAAUAAGGACUAAUAAAUAAGGAAAACUGCAUUGAAGGUGGAAUAUGGAGUGAACUUCUCUAAGAUGAAGACUUACAUGUACGAGGAAAAUCUUAUCCAGGUUUCAAGGAAAGCAACAUUGUCAUUUGCUC